rnacentral:rRNA from 1 species
AACGUAGGAGGCAAGCGUUAUCCGGAUUUACUGGGCGUAAAGGGCGUGCAGGUGGUUUUGUAAGUGGUGCGUGAAAGCGCUCGGCUCAACCGGGCGAGGCCGUGCCAAACUGCAAGACUGGAAACAGGCAGAGGAAAGUGGAAUUCGGGGUGUAGUGGUGAAAUGCGUAGAGAUCCCGAGGAACUCCAGUGGCGAAGGCGACUUUCUGGGCCUGCUUUGACACUCAGACGCGAAAGCAUGGGGAGCGAACGGG